GGUGGGUCUUUGUUUAUGAAAAGGCUUACCAAGUGCGAGACACAGCAAUUGAAUCUUCAGUAAUGACCAAGGUAAAAGGUUUUGGAGUCUACAAUGACAAAGUCAUGGAUGUUGCAGACUACGUCAUGCCAACACAGGGUGCUUCUGUCUUCUGCAUCAUUACCAAACUCAUAACAACAGAAAACCAAGUUCAAGGAUACUGUCCAGAGGUCAGACCCUGUCAAUACUAUUGAUCUUUCUAUAAUAUUUGAACUGGUUGAAAUUAAUAAAUGGAUAAUUUGUCCAGUGGAA